AUGAACGCUAGCUACAGGCUUAACACAUGCAAGUCGAGGGGCAGCAUGGUCUUAGCUUGCUAAGGCCGAUGGCGACCGGCGCACGGGUGAGUAACACGUAUCCAACCUGCCGUCUACUCUUGGACAGCCUUCUGAAAGGAAGAUUAAUACAAGAUGGCAUCAUGAGUCCGCAUGUUCACAUGAUUAAAGGUAUUCCGGUAGACGAUGGGGAUGCGUUCCAUUAGAUAGUAGGCGGGGUAACGGCCCACCUAGUCUUCGAUGGAUAGGGGUUCUGAGAGGAAGGUCCCCCACAUUGGAACUGAGACACGGUCCAAACUCCUACGGGAGGCAGCAGUGAGGAAUAUUGGUCAAUGGGCGAGAGCCUGAACCAGCCAAGUAGCGUGAAGGAUGACUGCCCUAUGGGUUGUAAACUUCUUUUAUAAAGGAAUAAAGUCGGGUAUGGAUACCCGUUUGCAUGUACUUUAUGAAUAAGGAUCGGCUAACUCCGUGCCAGCAGCCGCGGUAAUACGGAGGAUCCGAGCGUUAUCCGGAUUUAUUGGGUUUAAAGGGAGCGUAGAUGGAUGUUUAAGUCAGUUGUGAAAGUUUGCGGCUCAACCGUAAAAUUGCAGUUGAUACUGGAUAUCUUGAGUGCAGUUGAGGCAGGCGGAAUUCGUGGUGUAGCGGUGAAAUGCUUAGAUAUCACGAAGAACUCCGAUUGCGAAGGCAGCCUGCUAAGCUGCAACUGACAUUGAGGCUCGAAAGUGUGGGUAUCAAACAGGAUUAGAUACCCUGGUAGUCCACACGGUAAACGAUGAAUACUCGCUGUUUGCGAUAUACUGCAAGCGGCCAAGCGAAAGCGUUAAGUAUUCCACCUGGGGAGUACGUUCGCAAGAAUGAAACUCAAAGGAAUUGACGGGGACCCGCACAAGCGGUGGAGCAUGUGGUUUAAUUCGAAGCAACGCGAAGAACCUUACCAAGCCUUGACAUCCCAUUGACAGAGCAUGUAAUGUGCUUUCCUUUCGGGGCAGUGGUGACAGGUGGUGCAUGGUUGUCGUCAGCUCGUGCCGUGAGGUGUCGGCUUAAGUGCCAUAACGAGCGCAACCCUUGUUGUCAGUUACUAACAGGUUCCGCUGAGGACUCUGACAAGACUGCCAUCGUAAGAUGUGAGGAAGGUGGGGAUGACGUCAAAUCAGCACGGCCCUUACGUCCGGGGCUACACACGUGUUACAAUGGGGGGUACAGAGGGCCGCUACCACGCGAGUGGAUGCCAAUCCCCAAAACCUCUCUCAGUUCGGACUGGAGUCUGCAACCCGACUCCACGAAGCUGGAUUCGCUAGUAAUCGCGCAUCAGCCACGGCGCGGUGAAUACGUUCCCGGGCCUUGUACACACCGCCCGUCAAGCCAUGGGAGCCGGGGGUACCUGAAGUGCGUAACCGCGAGGAGCGCCCUAGGGUAAAACUGGUGACUGGGGCU
rnacentral:rRNA from 1 species